UGGUAGGUAGGAACUAUGGAUCAGUAAAGUUUUAGGUAUUUUUUCUUCUAAAUUGCAUUUUAAAAUGAGAAGCUAACUUAAUAAUUUUCUGCUCCGACAUUAACCAUGUUAAAACAUCGGUUGGGGUACAUUGCAAUCAAUUUGUAACUUCCGAAGUCUAAUUGAAAAAAUUAGAACUUUUGGGAUAUAAGUGCAAAUUGCAAAACUUUAAGAAUGUUUCUAUAAUUUGUCUAAAAAAUAAUGCAGUUAACUUUAUCUCAUAAGAAAUAAAAUUGUCUGAUAGUAGUUUCUCCUCUCUGUUUACUUUUCAUUUGUAUAAUUUGUCUCACCAAUCUUCGGAAGG
rnacentral:lncRNA from 1 species